CAGUAGCCACGGGAAUACGUAGGGUGCAAGCUUUAAUCGGAAUUACUGGGCGUAAAGCGUGCGCAGGCGGUUAUAUAAGACAGAUGUGAAAUCCCCGGGCUCAACCUGGGAACUGCAUUUGUGACUGUAUAGCUAGAGUACGGCAGAUGGGGAUGGAAUUCCGCGUGUAGCAGUGAAAUGCGUAGAUAUGCGGAGGAACACCGAUGGCGAAGGCAAUCCCCUGGGCCUGUACUGACGCUCAUGCACGAAAGCGUGGGGAGCAAACAGGAUUAGAUACCCCCGUAGUCCCUGUCUCUUAUAA
rnacentral:rRNA from 1 species